AGAAUUAUUAUCAAAAUUUAGUAUAUUGAGUCAAAUUUCUGAAACAAGGGUUAAAAAUCUUACUCCUAGAAAAAAAAAAUUAUUAUCUAAACAAAACCCAAAGCAAAAGAAUCUGCAAAUUAAAAAGCAAACCGUUUUCGAGCAAACAAAAAUUGAAAGCAGCAUAUCAGUUGUCAAAAACCCAAGUUUUUAAAGAAUUAGAGCAAAAUAUGGAUUGUUCAGUAGCCUCUUUUUUUCAAAAUUGCUUUACAAAUUUAAAAACAAAAAGACCAACAUGGACAACCAAAGAUAAGGUAUAUGCCCUAGCACUCUACAAAAGAGGUCCAAAAUCAUACAGGUUUUUAAAAAGCAGUCUAGCUUUACCACGUAAAUCCACCCUACAAAAACUUUUAAAAAGUGCACCCUUUGAAGCGGGCAUUAAUGAUAAGCUUUUUGGUAAAUUAAAAUUAAGAGUGAAUAAAAUGAAAGCAAUUGACAGGUAUUGCUCAUUAAUUUUUGAUGAAAUUUCACUGUCAGAACAAUUAAUGUACAAUCGGUUAUAUGAUAUGGUUGAUGGCUAUGUAGACCUAGGGCCCAUGGGUAGAAGAAAUCAGUUUGCAAAUCAUGCUUUAGUUUUUAUGGUCAAUGGCCUCCACAAAACUUGGAAGCAACCAAUUGCAUAUUUUUUUACUAGGGACUUACUUGCAAUAGAAUUGAAAGUUUUAAUAAAACAGUUGAUUGCCAAAAUUGAGGAAACUGGACUUACAGUUUUAUGUACAGUAUGUGACCAGGCAUCUGAUAAUCUCUCUACCAUAAAACAACUUUCAAAAGAAAAUACUCGACCGGGUCCAUACUUUUAUAUAAACAACCAUAGGGUUUUUACUCUUUUUGAUUAUUGCUUUAUUAACUGCUCUAUCUUUUAGCUAUAAAUUAAAAUAAUAUUUAGUCUGGCAAUUACAUAAUAUAUACUUCAUCAUAUUCAAAUAUAUUUUUUUUUAAUCAAAACUUUUUUAGAUAACAAUAUGAAUACAAAAUUCUUUUAAAACUCCCUGAUCAAUUCAAAACAUUUUAUAUAUAUUGUAUAUAGUAGUUUUUUUAACAUAGUUUUUUUAAACUUUUUUUACUAGGUCUGACGAAAGGUAUCAUCAGUGCUUUGCUGCUAGGAAGUACAAAUACACAGUACAAGUACAAAAGCACAAUAAGUGAAACAACUUCCAUUCCACCAGGUCACUACUCAAGGAGGUACCUCACCUCGAUAAGAUGGGAGUAAGAUCCAGGGAUGCUCAUUGAAUAUUUAAGAAAAAGGACCGAUGACAUCUAGAAUUAAGGGGUUAGUUUUUAUAUAUUACCACGCCCCUAACAUUUUCGGGUACCCUCUGUACAAAAAAGUAGGUAGUAAACGUAAAAUUUUUAGGGCAUAUUUUUGAGAAUUAUAGUUCUUAUGUCUAAAAAUAGUUAAUUUAUAAAUUUGAUAAAUUGUAAUUUUUGUAUCAUAUCCUCAAAAUGUAAAAUGUAAAAAGCAAAAUACAUACCAUGGACAGUGUUGUGCUAAAGCAGCACAAAAACAAAUUGUAUCAGGAUCCCUUUUAAGACAAUAAAUUAUAUUUAUUUAUAACUUA